rnacentral:rRNA from 1 species
UACAGGGGGUGCAAGCGUUGUCCGGAAUGAUUGGGCGUAAAGCAUCUGUAGGUGGUUUCUAAAGUCAACUGUUAAAUCCCAGAGCUCAACUUUGGACAAGCAGUUGAGUACUUAGGGACUUGAGUAUGGUAGGGGUAGAGGGAAUUCCUAGUGGAGCGGUGAAAUGCACAGAGAUUAGGAAGAACACCAGUGGCGAAAGCGCUCUACUGGGCCAUGACUGACACUGAGAGAUGAAAGUUAGGGGAGCGAAAAGG